ACGCUCGACACCUACGGGAGCAGCAGUGGGGAAUAUUGCACAAUGGGGGAAACCCUGAUGCAGCGACGCCGCGUGAAGGAUGAAGUAUUUCGGUAUGUAAACUUCUAUCAGCAGGGAAGAAAAUGACGGUACCUGACUAAGAAGCCCCGGCUAACUACGUGCCAACAGCCGCGGUAAUCUGAGCGGGCUGGCAAGGC
rnacentral:rRNA from 1 species